rnacentral:miRNA from 1 species
UAAAUAUAAUGUCAUUUAUACAU